rnacentral:rRNA from 1 species
CGGUAAUUCCAGCUCCAAUAGCGUGUAUUAAAGUUGUUGCAGUUAAAAAUCUCGUAGUUGAAUUUCGGGGUCAGUAGGUCGGUCGUGCCACUGGUAUGAACUGGUUUUACUGAUUCCUCCCUCUUGAAGAACUGUAAUGCGAUUAAUUUGGUGUUGCAGGGAAUCAGGACUGUUACUUUGAAAAAAUUAGAGUGUUUAAAGCAGGCUUUAGCUUGAAUACAUUAGCAUGGAAUAAUGAAAUAGGACGUUUGAUCCUAUUUUGUUGGUUUCUAGGAUUGACGUAAUGAUUAAUAGGGAUAGUUGGGGGCAUUAGUAUUCAAUUGUCAGAGGUGAAAUUCUUGGAUUUAUUGAAGACUAACUACUGCGAAAGCAUUUGCCAAGGAUGUUUUCAUUAAUCAAGAACGAAAGUUAGGGGAUCGAAGACGAUCAGAUACCGUCGUAGUCUUAACCAUAAACUAUGCCGACUAGGGAUCGGAUGAUGUUAAUUUUUUAAUGACUCAUUCGGCGCCUUACG